rnacentral:rRNA from 1 species
AAUAGAUACCCAGGUAGUCCACGCCGUAAACGAUGGAUGCUAGCUGUUAGGAGUAUCGACCCUUCUAGUAGCGAAGCUAACGCGUUAAGCAUCCCGCCUGGGGAGUACGGUCGCAAGAUUAAAACUCAAAGGAAUUGACGGGGACCCGCACAAGUGGUGGAGCGUGUUCUUUAAUUCGAUGAUAAGCGAAGAACCUUACCAGGCUUGACAUCCUUGGAAUUUCUCCGAAAGGAGAGAGUACUUUAUUGGACCAAGUGACAGGUGUUGCAUGGCCGUCGUCAGCUCGUGUCGUGAGAUGUUAGGUUAAGUCCUUCAACGAGCGCAACCCUUAUGUUUAGUUGGAUUUUUCUAAACAGACUGCCUCGGUAACGGGGUAGGAAGGAGGGGAUGGAUGUCAGGUCAUUAUUACCCUUACGUCCUGGGCUAGAAACGCGCUACAAUGGCCGGUACAAAGGGCAGCCAACCCGCGAGGGGGAGCAAAUCCCAUCAAAACCGGUCCCAGUUCGGAUUGCAGGCUGAAACUCGCCUGCAUGAAGCCGGAAUCACUAGUAAUCGUAGGUC